rnacentral:rRNA from 1 species
GACGAACGCUGGCGGCGUGCUUAACACAUGCAAGUCGAACGCUGAAGCUCAGCUUGCUGGGUGGAUGAGUGGCGAACGGGUGAGUAACACGUGAGUAACCUGCCCUCUUCUUUGGGAUAACGCCCGGAAACGGGUGCUAAUACUGGAUAUUCAAUGAUUCUCGCAUGGGGGUUGGUGGAAAGGUUUUUUCUGGUGGGGGAUGGGCUCGCGGCCUAUCAGCUUGUUGGUGGGGUGAUGGCCUACCAAGGCUUUGACGGGUAGCCGGCGUGAGAGGGUGACCGGUCACAUUGGGACUGGGAUACGGCCCAGACGCCGACGGGAGGCAGCAGUGGGGAAUAUUGCACAAUGGGCGAAAGCCGGAUGCAGCGACGCCGCGUGAGGGAUGGAGGCCUUCGGGUUGUAAACCUCUUUCGCUCAUGGUCAAGCCGCAGCUUUGGGUUGUGGUGAGGGUAGUGGGUAAAGAAGCGCCGGCUAACUACGUG